rnacentral:rRNA from 1 species
AUUGAACGCUGGCGGCAGGCCUAACACAUGCAAGUCGAGCGGUAGAGAGGAGCUUGCUUCUCUUGAGAGCGGCGGACGGGUGAGUAAUGCCUAGGAAUCUGCCUGGUAGUGGGGGAUAACGCUCGGAAACGGACGCUAAUACCGCAUNCGUCCUACGGGAGAAAGCAGGGGACCUUCGGGCCUUGCGCUAUCAGAUGAGCCUAGGUCGGAUUAGCUAGUUGGUGAGGUAAUGGCUCACCAAGGCGACGAUCCGUAACUGGUCUGAGAGGAUGAUCAGUCACACUGGAACUGAGACACGGUCCAGACUCCUACGGGAGGCAGCAGUGGGGAAUAUUGGACAAUNGGCGAAAGCCUGAUCCAGCCAUGCCGCGUGUGUGAAGAAGGUCUUCGGAUUGUAAAGCACUUUAAGUUGGGAGGAAGGGCAUUAACCUAAUACGUUGGUGUCUUGACGUUACCGACAGAAUAAGCACCGGCU